UACGAAGGGGGCUAGCGUUGCUCGGAAUCACUGGGCGUAAAGGGUGCGUAGGUGGCGCUGUAAGUCGGGUGUGAAAUCCUGAGGCUUAACCUCGGAACUGCAUUCGAUACUGCGGCGCUUGAGGACUGGAGAGGAGACUGGAAUUCAUGGUGUAGCAGUGAAAUGCGUAGAGAUCAUGAGGAAGACCAGUGGCGAAGGCGGGUCUCUGGACAGUUCCUGACACUGAGGCACGAAGGCCAGGGGAGCAAACGGG
rnacentral:rRNA from 1 species